CUUGUAGGCGGUUUGUCGCGUCUGCCGUGAAAUUCCCUGGCUUAACUGGGGGCGUGCGGUGGGUACGGGCAGGCUUGAGUGCGGUAGGGGAGACUGGAAUUCCUGGUGUAGCGGUGGAAUGCGCAGAUAUCAGGAGGAACACCGGUGGCGAAGGCGGGUCUCUGGGCCGUUACUGACGCUGAGGAGCGAAAGCAGUGGGGAAGCGAACA
rnacentral:rRNA from 1 species